rnacentral:lncRNA from 1 species
GUUGUGUUUGUCCCACCAGGCCAGACCCCUGGAUCUGGGGACUCUUCUGUGAACUCAGGAGAUGGGAAAGGAAGAAAUGGGCAGUGAUUUGGGCCCAUUGUCUCCCGGACUCACUACUAACCUAUUGCUGACUAUCAAGCCCAGAGCCCUGAGAAGCGGGGGAGAAGAUCAGAAACCGACCUGCGAGCUAGCUACAAGUCAGCUUUCUCUUCGAUCUUGCCAAUACAUUUACGUUUCUGGAAUAUGGAUUGCAUCACUCAUCAUUAUUUUUAUAGUCACUGAUCACCUUUUUCCCUUUCUUCCUUUCUGCUUUCUUUUCUUAGACAGGAUCUCACUAUGUAUUCCUGGCUGGGCUGUAACUUACUAUGUAGAAUAGGUUGGCCACAAACUUCCAGAAAUAUAGAUUUCCUUCUGGUUGCUGGACCUAAAGGCAUUUGCCACCAUGAAUGGCCUCCUUCAUAUACUUUAAUUUUUCAAUCAACUGAGGAACCUGACUGUGGCCUGCCAAACCAGUUUACCUUCUGUAAAGAAAAUUAAAAUAACAUAGCCUCAGAUCUGAGUUGUGGCUUGCCCAUCGACCUCAGUCACGUGACCUUCGUAGAGGUGGUGAAUACAAAGGUUUUUCAUGGAACUUGGAGUCUGAGUCUACCUGAAGAUCUUUCCUGGUGCUGAGGGAUGAAGGAGACAUGAAACAAACCAAAAUGAAACGAAACAACAACAACAACAACAAAACCCACAUCCUGGGGACUCCUCCUUUCCUGCAUCCUGGGGACCCUUUCCCAUAGCUCCAAGCAGGGGCAGGAGGUUUUAGCUGACUAAGCACUCACAUUGCCUGCAUUCUUUGGAUAAAAGUAAAAUUUAGUAAACUUGGCACUGACCCAUGGCAAUUAUGACAUUCAUAGAAGGUCGUAUGUGGCUGCCCAGAAGGCAGAAGCUAAAGACAUAUUUGAAAAGGCGCCCUCUCCAGCAAUGAGUCCUUUUCUGUGAACAUACCCCUUGACAUGCGAGGUUCGUGGGACUCAGCAAACAAUACCCACGGUUGACACUUUGACAUGGUAAACUAAAGAAGUACCCCAUGAUCUCUGACUUCCCAUGCUUCUUGCUCACCUCUGUCUAGAAGUGAUGGGAGAAGCCAGCUCCAGAGCUCUUAUGUCUACCUGAAGACUGGUUUCCUAGUUCACACUCAACUGUGAGUCCUAUAACCACAGAGACUGCCAACCUAAGAGACCAGGGCAUACCAUAGGAGAGAAAACUAAAUCUGGCAGACCCAGGUGAACUCUGUCUGGUUUUUUGGGCUCAUUCAUUUCCCCUGAGGAAAGCCCUUGCUCCCCAUUAAACUUCUUUCUCUCUUGUGAAGAAUGUAUUUAAGCCUCAGCCAUCUGGCCAUUCUUGUGCAAUGUCCAUGAGUUUGUGCAUGGUACUGUAGAAGAAGUCGUGUCUGCAGAGACUGAGUGGACUGGUUAGAAUUUCAGUUCUGUGGAGAUUGGAAUAUUGCAGGUUCGGAAGUCUAGUUCCCUAUCUUGGGCUAGCUCUGGUCCUCAGGAACAGCCAUUCCUUGUGCACCUCUGUAUAGGAACAUUAUGUGACUAGCAGGUAAAACCCUUUUGGCAUCUAUUAACUUAGCAGACUACUAGCUUCCACCAACCCCAACGCUAAGGAGGAUGUCUGUCACCAGAUAGCAUCUUGGGUCUAUGGAAAGCCUCUCCCAACUCACUGUAACUGUCCCUUGAUGUACCCACCGAUGUGUUUUAAACUUGUCUUGGUUUAGGGCUUUCUUUGUUCUGUAAAACUUUACAACAUUAUAAAACUGCUUCCACAUUAGAACAUGGAAUUUGGGGGUAAGUCUACUUCUAAAUCUGUAUUUCUAGGCCAUGGUCACUCAGAAUGGCUCCAGAAUAAACUAUCUUUUAUUCCC